CCUUUCCAACUGGCCUCUCUGUCUGCAGAGUUCACGGAUCUCAGGCUGCAGAAGUAUGGACAGCCAUGCGCAGGGCGGCUGGAAGUUUUCUACCAUGGAAGUUGGGGGGGAAUCUGCCAUCUCCUGAGCACAGCCUCCCUGGGGAUCCUGUGUGGGCAGUUGGGCUGUGGGCCCCAAGGGCAGCUACUGGGCAGGCCAGAAAGCUGGCCUUCCCUUGGGGUUUUCUGGCUGACUUCCAUUCAGUGCAGGCCUAGGCACGACAGGUCCCUGUGGCAGUGCCCCUCAUCUGCCUGGGACCUGCAUUCCUGCUCCAGCAGUGAGGAGGCCUGGGUCUUGUGUGCAGAAAACAAGCCAGAAAUUCCUGAGGAUUCUGAGCAGACCCUUAACUGCUCAUCCACACUCAGUUGCCCAGAGGAGGGUGCACUGCGCCUUCGAGGAGGUGAUGGUGCCUGCUCAGGGCGUGUAGAGCUUUGGCACGCAGGCUCCUGGGGCACCGUGUGUGAUGACUCCUGGGACCUCGCAGAUGCAGAGGUCGUGUGCCGCCAGCUGGGCUGUGGUCAGGCCAUGGAUGCUG